GACAUGGAGGCUCUCCAUGAGGCCUACAGACAGAUCCAUGUCGUGGAAGAUUCAGAAGACUAUCAUCCCCAUCGUUCAUCUGUGGAAGGGAGGGGGAGGAUCAACAGACCUGUGUCUCCAUCCUCUCCUCCUCCUCAUCAUGCCACACAGUCUCUUCAGCCGGCUUCUACCAACGAGUCAGAGCUUCCAACUGCAGAAGAGUUGAUGAGACCCAUCCGACCUGAGAGGGACGAUAUCAGAGGCUUCACCCUCCAGCCAGCCAGUGCUGUAGAACUAGAGGACCAAGAAAAGACCCCCCGGUUCUUGGAAAGGACUUUCUCACAUGUGACGCCUCCAGACUCGCAACUGAUGGGAGCAGAGCUGGCUGACCCCUUAGACGGGAUACAGGCAGCCAGGGGGUUGACCAGCCCCCCGUCCAGCUCCCCAGACCCUCCCAACCUGACGUGGAGCAUCAGACAGGAAGUAGAGAAGCUGAUGCAGGAUCAGAACAAAUACUCUCAGGCUGGCAAAGCUAAGAAACAACAGGUGAGGAACACUUCAAACUAUUCUCCAUUUCAGGAGUGCUUGGAUUUGUAAUCAUAUCAGACA
rnacentral:lncRNA from 1 species